AAAUUUUAAAAAUUUUUUCAAAAAAAAGAAACAAUACAGAGAAGAUUAGCAUGUCACCUGUGCAAGGAUGACAUGCAAAUUCAGUAAGUGUUCCAUUAAAAU
ensembl:snRNA U6 U6 spliceosomal RNA